AUGGGACGAACCACAGUAAAGCCUAUUUGGAAUAAGAUAUGGAAGUUAUCUUGCCCGGGAAAAGUAAUAAAAAUUAUAUGGUGUACGCUGCAUAGUGCACUUCCAUGUCGAGAUACGCUUGCAAAUAAACAUAUGAAGAUCUCGCCCAUUUGUCCUACAUGCUCAAAGGACCUAGAAGAUACAAAGCACAUGCUUUUCCUUUGUAGAUAAUCAAAGGAGGACUGGAAAAGGCUUGGGUUGGAUGACAUUAUUGAUAAAGCCUGUAAGGUAGAUCGUGCUGGAUAAGCGGUGUUGGAGUAUUUGCUACUUCUACCGGACCAAGAAUUGUUGAUUUUGGGCCAUUACAAUGUACGCAAAAUGAUUGUUGUCUCAGCAUGGUACCUAUGGUGGGAAAGACAAAAAAUUGGUGCAUAA
rnacentral:rRNA from 1 species